GGAAGGGACAGCGGUUAGAGCGUCUGUUUUGCAUGCAGAAGGUCCCAGGUUCAAUCCCUGGCAUCUCCA